UGAAAUAGUGUUCCACUGUCUCUUCUUUCA
rnacentral:piRNA from 1 species